UUCACUGGGCUUAAAGGGUGCGUAGGCGGAUUGGCAAGCAUCUCGUGAAAUCCCUCGGCUCAACUGAGGAAUUGCGGGAUGAACUGCCAGUCUUGAGGAAGGCAGAGGCUGUCGGAACGUUCGGUGGAGCGGUGAAAUGCGUAGAUAUCGAACGGAACGCCGAAGGGUAGCCAGGCAGCUGGGCCUUACCUGACGCUGAGGCACGAAAGCGUGGGGAUCAAACAGGAUUAGAUACCCUGGUAGUCCACGCCGUAAACGAUGUGCACUAGCUCGAUGCAGAUCUGACUCUGUGUCGGGCGCCGAGAAAUCAUUAAGUGCACCGCCUGGGGAGUACGGUCGCAAGGCUAAAACUCAAAGGAAUUGACGGGGGCUCACACAAGCGGUGGAGCAUGUUGCUUAAUUCGAAGCAACGCGAAGAACCUUACCUGGGUUUGACAUGCACGGAUUAGUCAUUGGAAACAGUGAUGACGCUCUUCGAGUGGAACGUGCACAGGUGCUGCAUGGCUGUCGUCAGCUCGUGCUGUGAAGUGUCGGGUUAAGUCCCUUAACGAGCGCAACCCUUAUCGCUAGUUGCCAGCGCAUUAUGGCGGGGACUCUAGCGAGACUGCCGGUGUCAAACCGGAGGAAGGUGGGGAUGACGUCAAGUCCUCAUGGCCUUUAUGCCCAGGGUGGCAAACGUGCUACAAUGGCGUGUACAGAGCGACGCAAUACCGUGAGGUGGAGCAAAUCGCAAAAAGCACGCCCCAGUUCGGAUAGCAGUCUGCAACUCGACUGCUUGAAGCCGGAAUCGCUAGUAAUCGCGGAUCAGCCAUGCCGCGGUGAAUACGUUCCUGAGCCUUGUACUCACCGCCCGUCAACGCGGCGAAU
rnacentral:rRNA from 1 species